UGGGGAAUAUUGCACAAUGGGCGCAAGCCUGAUGCAGCCAUGCCGCGUGUGUGAAGAAGGCCUUCGGGUUGUAAAGCACUUUCAGCGAGGAGGAAGGUGGUGAGCUUAAUACGCUCAUCAAUUGACGUUACUCGCAGAAGAAGCACCGGCUAACUCCGUGCCAGCAGCCGCGGUAAUACGGAGGGUGCAAGCGUUAAUCGGAAUUACUGGGCGUAAAGCGCACGCAGGCGGUUUGUUAAGUCAGAUGUGAAAUCCCCGGGCUCAACCUGGGAACUGCAUUUGAAACUGGCAAGCUAGAGUCUCGUAGAGGGGGGCUAGAAUUCCAGGUGUAGCGGUGAAAUGCGUAGAGAUCUGGAGGAAUACCGGUGGCGAAGGCGGCCCCCUGGACGAAGACUGACGCUCAGGUGCGAAAGCGUGGGGCAGCAAACAGGAUUAGAUACCCUGGUAGUCCACGCUGU
rnacentral:rRNA from 1 species